UGGGGAAUUUUGGACAAUGGGCGAAAGCCUGAUCCAGCAAUGCCGCGUGCAGGAUGAAGGCCUUCGGGUUGUAAACUGCUUUUGUACGGAACGAAAAGCCCUGGGUUAAUACCCUGGGGUCAUGACGGUACCGUAAGAAUAAGCACCGGCUAACUACGUG
rnacentral:rRNA from 1 species